rnacentral:rRNA from 1 species
AUUGAACGCUGGCGGCAGGCCUAACACAUGCAAGUCGAACGAGUGGCGGACGGGUGAGUAAUGUCUAGGAAACUGCCCGCUGUGGAGGGGUAACUACUUGAAACGGUAGCUAAUACCGCAUACCAUCGGAUGUUCCCAGAUGGGAUUGGCUCGUAGGUUGGGUAACGGCUCACCUAGGCGACGAUCCCUAGCUGGUCUGAGAGGAUGACCAGCCACACUGGAACGGAGAAACGGUCCAGACUCCUACGGGAGGCAGCAGGGGGGAAGAUUGGACAAUGGGGGGAAGGCUGAUGCAGCCAUGCAGCGGGUAUGAAGAAGGCCUUUGGGUUGUAAAGUACUUUUAGCGAGGAGGCGUUACCAACAGAAUAAGCACCGGCUAACUUCGUGCCAGCAGCCGCGGUAAUUC